AGAAGCGAGGCAGCCGUGAGGCGGAGGACAGGCUGGGGGAUCCCAAAGGGUGCGCUCCAGCCCCCAACCCAGGCACUGGGACUCUGGUGGCACCCUGGGUGGCAGGCAAGCCUUGAAAUCAAGUGCACGAGCCUUGGAAAGGAGGACCGGGAGAGUUAUGGCAUUUAUGAAUGAAGAAGAGAAAGAGAAUCACUCGGAUGGGAAAAGUUAACUGGAUUGUUCCCACCUGCAUGGAUCACCGGGAUGAAGCUGUGCCACCCUGUAGGAAUUAGAAGACCAUGUCCAGGAAUUGAGCACUGGGUGCAGGAUCCAGUCUUCUGAGGCCCUGAAACCACAUGGUGAGAAGUUGAAGGUCACACAGCUGGUGCCUGUGUUCCUGCUCGGUUUCUGGAUUGCUUGGUACUUAAAUGAAACAUCUUAUUAAUCAUUUCCCGGGAAUGCUGUGCAGGCAAAAGGAAAACAAAGGCAUUCAGGAGCCACAGAAAAGUGUACUGGCUCCUGUCCUGGAUCAACUCAGAAAAUGAAACACAUCGGAUUCUGUCCAGGCCGGGCACAGCAACCUGGCCCAUCCAUGUGGAGCCUGCAGUGACCACUUCCGCUGUCUGCACAAAACUGGAGGGAGGCUGGGGGUGCUCCAAGUAUAAGUUUCCUCAUCAGCAAACCGGAAAGAGAAAGACCGACCUGGAGGCUGGUUAUGGGGAUAAAAUAAAUAUGUCCUUAUAUAUGUGUAUAAAGCCCCAGCACAAACAGCAGUCGCCGCAUGGGUCAGGGAGGCACUGCUUGGAGCCUUAUGUGACCGUGUUCUCACAUUAUCUUCCAACUGGUUUGGGAGACAGGUACUGCUAUGAUCUCUGUAUUACACAGAAGCAAACUGAA
rnacentral:lncRNA from 1 species